GAUGAACGCUGGCGGCGUGCCUAAUACAUGCAAGUCGAGCGAACAGAUGAGGAGCUUGCUCCUCUGACGUUAGCGGCGGACGGGUGAGUAACACGUGGAUAACCUACCUAUAAGACUGGGAUAACUUCGGGAAACCGGAGCUAAUACCGGAUAAUAUAUUGAACCGCAUGGUUCAAUAGUGAAAGACGGUUUUGCUGUCACUUAUAGAUGGAUCCGCGCCGCAUUAGCUAGUUGGUAAGGUAACGGCUUACCAAGGCAACGAUGCGUACCCGACCUGAGAGGGUGAUCGGCCACACUGGAACUGAGACACGGUCCAGACUCCUACGGGAGGCAGCAGUAGGGAAUCUUCCGCAAUGGGCGAAAGCCUGACGGAGCAACGCCGCGUGAGUGAUGAAGGUCUUCGGAUCGUAAAACUCUGUUAUUAGGGAAGAACAAAUGUGUAAGUAACUAUGCACGUCUUGACGGUACCUAAUCAGAAAGCCACGGCUAACUACGUG
rnacentral:rRNA from 1 species